AUUGAACGCUGGCGGCAGGCUUAACACAUGCAAGUCGAGCGGAGCGAGGGUGCUUGCACCUUAGCUUAGCGGCGGACGGGUGAGUAAUGCUUAGGAAUCUGCCUAUUAGUGGGGGACAACAUUCCGAAAGGGAUGCUAAUACCGCAUACGCCCUACGGGGGAAAGCAGGGGAUCUUCGGACCUUGCGCUAAUAGAUGAGCCUAAGUCGGAUUAGCUAGUUGGUGGGGUAAAGGCCUACCAAGGCGACGAUCUGUAGCGGGUCUGAGAGGAUGAUCCGCCACACUGGGACUGAGACACGGCCCAGACUCCUACGGGAGGCAGCAGUGGGGAAUAUUGGACAAUGGGGGGAAACCCUGAUCCAGCCAUGCCGCGUGUGUGAAGAAGGCCUUUUGGUUGUAA
rnacentral:rRNA from 1 species